GUCGAGAAUAAUUCACAAUGGACGAAAGUCUGAUGGUGCAACGCCGCGUGGAGGAUGAAGGUCUUCGGAUUGUAAACUCCUGUCAUCGGGGAGUAAGACCUGGCGGUAAAUAGCCGACAGGGUUGAUAGUACCCGAAGAGGAAGGGACGGCUAACUUCGUGCCAGCAGCCGCGGUAAUACGAAGGUCCCAAGCGUUGUUCGGAAUCACUGGGCGUAAAGGGAGCGUAGGCGGCGUGGUAAGUCAGAUGUGAAAUCCCGGGGCUCAACCCCGGAACUGCAUCCGAUACUGCCAUGCUUGAGGGUUGGAGAGGUAGCUGGAAUUCUCGGUGUAGCAGUGAAAUGCGUGGAUAUCGAGAGGAACACUCGUGGCGAAGGCGAGCUACUGGACAACAUCUGACGCUGAGGCUCGAAGGCCAGGGGAGCAAAAGGGAUUAGAAACCCUAGUAGUCC
rnacentral:rRNA from 1 species